GAUGAACGCUAGCGGGAGGCUUAACACAUGCAAGUCGAGGGGCAGCACGUCUUCGGAUGGUGGCGACCGGCGUACGGGUGCGUAACGCGUAUGCAACCUGCCCUGUGCAGGGGGAUAGCUUUCGGAAACGGAAAUUAAUACCCCAUAUAUCUGUAACAUCGCCUGAUGUAACAGGGAAAGAUUUAUCGGCACAGGAUGGGCAUGCGUCCGAUUAGUUAGAUGGUGAGGUAACGGCUCACCAUGGCUACGAUCGGUAGGGGUCCUGAGAGGGUUAUCCCCCACACUGGUACUGAGACACGGACCAGACUCCUACGGGAGGCAGCAGUGAGGAAUAUUGGUCAAUGGUCGAGAGACUGAACCAGCCAUCCCGCGUGAGGGACGAAGGCCUUAUGGGUCUUAAACCUCUUUUGUAAGGGAAGACAAGAAGCUACGCGUAGUUUAUACAGACAGUACCUUACGAAUAAGCACCGGCUAACUCCGUGCCAGCAGCCGCGGUAAUACGGAGGGUGCAAGCGUUAUCCGGAUUUAUUGGGUUUAAAGGGUGCGCAGGUUGCUGUUUAAGUCAGUGGUGAAAGUCUGCCGCUUAACGGUAGGAUUGCCAAUGAUACUGAAUGGCUUGAGUUUGGGCGAGGCAUGUGGAAUGUGCAGUGUAGCGGUGAAAUGCAUAGAUAUUGCACAGAACUCCGAUUGCGAAGGCAGCAUGCUAGUCCACAACUGACGCUGAGGCACGAAAGCGUGGGGAUCAAACAGGAUUAGAUACCCUGGUAGUCCACGCCGUAAACGAUGAUCACUCGCUGUUUGCAAUAUAAUGUGAGCGGCUAAGCGAAAGCAUUAAGUGAUCCACCUGGGGAGUACGAUCGCAAGGUUGAAACUCAAAGGAAUUGACGGGGGCCCGCACAAGCGGAGGAACAUGUGGUUUAAUUCGAUGAUACGCGAGGAACCUUACCUGGGCUUAAAUGGAGAGUGACUACUGUCGAAAGAUGGUUUUCUACGGACACUUUUCAAGGUGCUGCAUGGUUGUCGUCAGCUCGUGCCGUGAGGUGUCGGGUUAAGUCCCAUAACGAGCGCAACCCCUUCCGUUAGUUGCCAUCAGGUCAAGCUGGGGACUCUAGCGGGACUGCCACCGUAAGGUGAGAGGAAGGUGGGGAUGACGUCAAAUCAGCACGGCCCUUAUGUCCAGGGCUACACACGUGUUACAAUGGCCGGUACAGAGGGCAGCCACCUGGUGACAGGGCGCUAAUCCCGAAAGCCGGUCUCAGUUCGGAUCGAAGUCUGCAACCCGACUUCGUGAAGUUGGAUUCGCUAGUAAUCGCGCAUCAGCCAUGGCGCGGUGAAUACGUUCCCGGGCCUUGUACACACCGCCCGUCAAGCCAUGGGAGCCGGGGGUGCCUGAAGUCUGCAACCGCAAGGAGCGGCCUAGGGUAAAACUGGUAACUGGGGCU
rnacentral:rRNA from 1 species